AGUGCGUAAUAGCUCACUGGUCGAGUGAUCCUGCGCCGAAGAUUUCCGGGGCUAAAACUUACUACCGAAGCUACGGCAUCAGUAAUGAUGGGUAGGGGAGCUUCCCAUACGGGUUGAAGCAUGACCGUAAGGACAUGUGGACAGUAUGGGAGUGAGAAUGUUGGCAUGAGUAGCGAGAUGUGGGUGAGAAUCCCACAGGCCGUAAACCCAAGGUUUCCAGGGGAAGGUUCGUCCGCCAUGGGUUAGUCGGGACCUAAGCUGAGGCCGAAAGGCGUAGGUGAUGGACAACAGGUUGAUAUUCCUGUACUACCGAUAACCGUUUGAGAGAAGGGAUGACACAGUAGGAUAAGCUAAGCACACUGUUG
rnacentral:rRNA from 1 species